rnacentral:lncRNA from 1 species
UAACGGAUUGUAAACAAUUUUGAGUUGCCCACAAGAGAAAUAGAGGUUUGGAGGGACAAUUGAAGCCGGCACAAACUGAAACUACCACAGGUUGCAUGUGAAAAUCCACCUUAUGCAUAUAUUCAUUUAUUUUUUAAGUUACUAUUAAGAAAAACUCGAAUAUAAAAAAAUCCACCUUCAUUUUAAUAUUCUGCACAAUAUUGGAUCAUAGUUCACUUUUCAUUUUAUAGUUGUUUGCUUUGUGCUAUUUAAAUUACAUAUUGUAGUAAACUGAAAGAUGCUCUUGUCUGGUCCUUGAAUAAAAUUCCACUAGGCCUAUGCGCCGUUGGACGGGGGUCAUCCUCCUGUUCUAAAAAAAUGCGCAGUUGGACUAGGUUUGCUUUUGUUCAGUUAGAAUCUUGAUGUUUUGUUUCCCCUAUAAGUUAGCCAACUUCCCUUUUCUUGAUGAAAUUGUCAGGAGUGAUGCUUUCUUCAUAUGUAAUUCUGUCAGAGAUAUGUUUGAUGUUCAUGCAGAGCCAUGGACCAUUCUAUUCUCUAUGACCCCGGCGACGGAGGCUGCCAGGACGGAGCCGAUGGCUCCGGCCAGCGAAGGGAAGGCAGAUGGCGAGUGGGUCAAUGUAUUUGGGUGAGGAAACCAUGAUGCUCUUCUUUACUUGUUUUUUGAGGAAGCUGUAGCCUCCCGCAUGCGCAUGGUAGAUUAAGUUGUGCAAGUGGGUAGUAUCUGAUUUCCACUGGACAUGUUGGCAUGGAGCUGAAAACAAUUGAUGCUUUGCAUAGGUUCAUGGCCCUGCCAUGUGCUUGCUCAUGUCUAUGUCCAUGAGCAACAGCAAAAACAAUCAUUUAGUAGCAUAUCGUCUUAGACCUUAGUACUUUCCCUAGCAACUGGAUAUACCGGACUCUAUAGUGCUAGUGCACUUUCAUUUUUGUUAAAUUUGUACACCCUGCCUGAGAAAACAGUAGCCGUCACUUAGCUUUUUGUUGGGUGCCUUAUAUAGGAUGCACUUCCUCUAUUACCGGACGACAUCCACUAGGUUGAUGAUCCUAAACAGCCUGGGAGAGUGAAUGCUUCAAUUCUCAUCACAUACGUGUAUGUAGAGUCUGGACUAGUUCAUAAUCUGUUUUCAACAUUUGUACUACUAGAUAAGUAGUAAUUUUGAACAACUUUGUGGCUUGCAAAAACCAGAUUGCAAGUAAUUCUUAACAUCUUUGUAGCUUGCAAGAACAUACUUGAAAUCAGUUGACACAUGACCCCCACAACAGAAGGCACUGACUAAUGCUAAUGAUUUAGUAACUACAAAUUUCUGUAUUUUUCUUUGCCUGCAAUGUAUUGUAUUUGUCUUCCAAGACUUAACUUGGUGCCAAACAUUGCGGCGCGAAGUAAACACAUCACCCUGCCUGAUGUGCUACCAUAUAUAGUGAAUAACCUAACAAGAAAUCUGCUAAGACACAAAGUAAUUUAGUUCACAUAUGCAUUUCUGUGUUUCUUUUGGACUUUAUGUUUUUCUAUGCAUUUGCCAAAUCUAUAUAUUUAGUUUGAAUAAGAACUGAGGAAUUAAGCAUAUAUAUUCGGCAUGAGCCCCUUUAAAUUGCUAGAUGAUAAGGAAUCUUAACUUAAUGGGUCUUGUGAAUUGUAAUAUACUAUUUAGUUUAACUGAUGCAAUUUGCGUACUAACAAGUUUUCACUUUCCCAACGUGGGCGCAGGGGUGAUCGACGCUGACUAGCGUGGCCCGGUGGGCGUUG